GUGGUUGUAGCUCAGUUGGUUAGAGCGCUGGAUUGUGGUUCCAGAGGUCGCCGGUUCGAGCCCGGUCUUCCACCC
rnacentral:tRNA from 1 species